UACGUAGGGGGCAAGCGUUAUCCGGAAUUACUGGGCGUAAAGGGUGCGUAGGUGGUUUCUUAAGUCAGAGGUGAAAGGCUACGGCUCAACCGUAGUAAGCCUUUGAAACUGGGAAACUUGAGUGCAGGAGAGGAGAGUGGAAUUCCUAGUGUAGCGGUGAAAUGCGUAGAUAUCGGGAGGAACACCGGUGGCGAAGGCGGCUUUCUGGCCAGUUACUGACGCUCAUGCGCGAAAGCUGGGGUAGCGAACCGGAUUAGAUACCCUGGUAGUCCCUGAGCGGGCU
rnacentral:rRNA from 1 species